UCCUGGUGGGAAACUGCUGGUGGGCCAGGAGAUGAAGACGUUUCUGUAAGAUGGGGGGGCCUUAUACUUUGCAGGACAGAACAAGGUACAGAUCCUGAGAGUCACUGGGCCAUUCUGGGCUCAGCGAGAACAACUGGCCGUCUUUAAUCACAGCACCUAGGACUGGCUGCCUGUUUCUUGGUUUCCAGGUCUGGGAAAAGAUUACAAAGACAAGCAAAUGAGUCCCUGACCAGCAGCCUCCCUGGUGGAUGUGCAGUAUAUGUGUCUGGAAUGUACAAUGAAAGGAGUAGAGAAGCCGUGGGUUGGAGAAGCAUGGGAAGGGAAAAUAACACUCUGCAAAUGAGAACUUAAUUGGAACGAGGCUUGUGUAGCUUCUUUCUCUUAGCAUAUAUUUCUUCAUGGAUGUUGGCUGUCUCUGCAGUCUUCUGACUCCAGCUGUCCCUUUGAAAAGAAUCCCCAGGACAAGAGAGAAGGUCUGGGUUGAUCUGUGUCAGAAGCAGGAACCUACUCAGGUGCAGGAACCUCAGGAUAUCUUGGGGACCUUGUGAAGAGGAAUUCCCCCAAAUCUACAGGAAUCUAGCACACCAGCUGACACGCUUUCUUAUUCCUGUGAACCUGUGGGUGACCUCCAAUUUCUCUUCAAGCGACGAUGAAGAACUGGAGGAAAAUUCUGAUGAACCGUCAAAGGCCAUUUUUAUUGGGCUUCUUCUCAUAGUGACAUUAACCACAUUUUGUUGUCUUUUCCCGUGUCUCUCUGCCUGGUGCCAAGAUUCCUUCGCCGCCAUAACUUCCAGCUGACAGAUAUUCCUUUCUACUGAAUGAGGUUCAUAUACAUGUUGUCCCCCUUGGAUUGGCUGCCUCUGCCUUUGGUAACU